rnacentral:rRNA from 1 species
AACUCCGUGCCAGCAGCCGCGGUAAUACGGAGGGUGCAAGCGUUAUCCGGAUUUAUUGGGUUUAAAGGGUGCGUAGGCGGUAGGAUAAGUCAGUGGUGAAAAUCUGCAGCUCAACUGUAGACGUGCCAUUGAAACUGUUUUACUUGAGUGACCAUGAGGUAGGCGGAAUGUGUAGUGUAGCGGUGAAAUGCUUAGAUAUUACACAGAACACCGAUUGCGUAGGCAGCUUACUAGAGGUUUACUGACGCUGAUGCACGAAAGCGUGGGGAUCAAACAGGAUUAGAUACCCUGGUAGUCCACGCUGUAAACGAUGAUAACUCGCUGUUGGCGAUAUACAGUCAGCGGCUUAGCGAAAGCGUUAAGUUAUCCACCUGGGGAGUACGCUCGCAAGAGUGAAACUCAAAGGAAUUGACGGG